GCCUGGGGUGGAGAGGGUGUGGGGUUUGAGAAGGAGUUUGGGUGAAGAAGGUGGUUGUGAUAUGGGUAGGGCUUGGGGUGCAGGAUUCAGAAGGAGGUACGGAUAUAGAAGAGGAUUCUGAUCUGGAGGAGGAGGGGGUUUCAGGGUGUGGGAGGGAGUUGUGCCCUAGGAGAAGGGGAUGCAGAGGGUUUGAGUGGUAACCUGGGGCAGAGGAAUGGGGUGCAAGAUCAAGGAGGGGGUAUGGGUGCAGGAGAGGGGUCUGGCCUGGGGGAGGGAUGUAGGAGCAGCUGCAGGGUCAGGGAGGAAGUUAUGACCUGGAGCAGGUGGUGAAAGAGGGUAGAGUGUUGGCGACCUGGUGGUUGGAGGAGAGGGGGAGUGGAGUGCCAGAGGCAGGCUCUGGCUGGGAGGCUCUUACUUAGGUGGCUCCCAGCCAGCAGCCCUGCAGGAACCUAAAAACUGCCUAUCUGCUGCAUCUCCAGACUGGUAUGCUGCCCCUACCCCCGGCAAAAUCUCAGCUCCUAUUGGGCAGAAACUAGUUCCAGUAAGGAAGCUAUAGGCUGGAUCCAGCCUUCGGGCGACAUCUUGCCCUGCCCUGUUUUACUGAGUUAACAACUACCCAUUUGUUGAUUUGGCACAUUAAUGCAUGCACAGAGUAAAUGAAGUACUACAAAAACUAGCAUUUAACUGUUGAUUUUCUGUAUUCUGGUUCAGGUAUUACACUGAACUAAACCAUUUUUCUGUACAGCAUUCACUACUGACAAAACUAAUUUCCAUAUGUGAACAAGGGCCGAGGAUUAUCAUUAGCUAGAAGGAAUGGAUUCACAUACCAUAGUUAUUAAACCAUCAUGUUGAAUACAAAUCAUCCCCUGAUUUGACAUGUCCCUCAGGAGUCCAUCAACAUAUUCAUAACAAAAUGGCUGCCUCAGGUUCUCACCCAAACCAAUCAAUCCAUCCAUCCACACUGACAGUUUCUUCAUUUUCUUCCAUAUAUAACUCUCCGGGAAGAUUUAGCUACACUUUGAAUUAAGUACAUCGACAGAAGUACGUGGACUCUAGUCUUAUAACUCAAUUGUUCUGUGACAGUAUCACAAGAAAGUAAAGUAAGGACUGUAAGUGGUUUUCAAACUGCUUCUUUCUGUUUGUACACUUCUGGAUGUACCUAAGCAACAAUAUUUCUAUGCAGCUUAGCAUAACGUACUUUCCUGUGACCACUUCAUAGUGGUGGAGCUGAAUUUAGUUGGAAAGUUUUCACUACGUUGUCUCAAAUCAGUUACUUGUGAUGUAGAGGGAAGACUUCUCAAGAACAAGAAAAAGCAGAGUAUUGAGAAGGGUUUACACAUGGUUUUUCAUUUCUACAGUAUAGUAGUAUUACAUAAAGUCUCCACAUCAUUUUCAACUGACCUAUUUACCCAAAAUGCUGCAUUUGAACAAUAUUUGUAUUAUUUUCAUUGAAAACAAAGUUCUAUAGAUAGAACACACCUUCUUUUGUGUAGGGAUAACUAGAAUGAUGUUGGUUUAUAAUUACAAACCCAUCUUUUCACUACAUAAUUACAAAAUAAUCUGCAUUCAUGCAUGUAAACAAGGGAUAGGAAUGUUUACUGUAAAAUUUAGCCACAGUAACAACACAGAACCCCGAUUAUAACCUAGUGUAUUCUAGAAUACACUGAAAAACUGCAAAAUUCCCAGGUCCUGCCAACACUGAGUAUGCCAACAUACUGCGUGAACACUUAUUUGGAGUUUGCAACAACAACCUUUUCCUUUUGUUAAGGAAAUCCACUAGCAUUCCCACACUAUAUAAACAUUUGAAUGGUCUAAGUUGAGUCUGUCCAGAUGAUGCAGCAUGUCCACCAGAAAUGCCAAAUCUAAAACCCAGUGUGGAUCUGAGAACUCGGGAUAUUCUUUAUGCUUCUCUUCCAUGAACAGUUUCACAGCGUCCAAAAGUUCAAAAAAACGAAACAGCACUUGGCCCUUUGAAAGCCACCUUACAGUACAGUGCAGUGGCAGGUCUCCUGGAAGAUCUUGGUCAAGCUCAGAAAUUAUAUUCUUGAAUUGUCUGUAGUUAAGAGCAUCUGUGCGAAUAUACCUGACAAUUUCUAGCACAGUUUCAUUACAUGGUCUAAAUUCAGGUUUUUAGACACCAGUUGCUCCCAAUGGAUGUUGCAGUGAAACAUCCAGAACUCAGGGAACCUGUCAUCAGCUCUACAUAGCCCCACAAGUCCAUUCACAGAUCCAAUCAUAGACAGCGCCCCAUCCAUUGCUAUUGCUGCAAGUUUCGGUAAAGGCAGAUUUGUUUUUGCAAACACUUCCAUCAGUGUUUCUUUCACAUCAGUGCCGCAGAUUCUGUAUUUUAAUGGUACAGUAUCUGGGAGUUCUUCGUUGAUUACACAAUCCUCUGUACAAAUAUUGCCAAUUGAGGUUUGUCCUGUACAUCAUAAGACUCAUCCAGUGCAAUACUGAGGUACUCACAUUUCUGAAGAUCUGAAUACAAAUGUGAUUUAAGUGCAUCAUUUAUGUCAGAUAUUCUGUGUUUGAUUGUGUGGCGUAAGAGUUGAAGGCCUGAAACCAUUCUUUUUAGAUUGUCAUUUUCUGGAGACAAGAUGGAAACAACAUCUACAAGGCAUUUUUUUAACAAACUCGCCUUCGUUGUAAGAUUUUUUAGUGCGGGCAAUGAGUCAAGUGUAACUUUCUGAGAAUGCUUGGAAAAUUUACGGAACCCUCCAGUCUGUUUUUCUAUUUGACUUUUCCAAGUUUUAGUUUGUGAUUGCGAAGUUCAGUACCUUUUGGAAAUUCCCAAUCGAUGUUAGCAUAGUGUGUUAUGAAAUGGCGCUGGAGAUUUGGACACUUGAAAUGUGCUAACAAAGUCUGGCAUAUCAGACAGAGUGGUUUGCCAUUGCAUUCAAUGAAAAAAUAUGAAUUUUCCCACUCUGUUAAGAAUGUUCUAUGUUCUUUAUAUUUGUGCUUAUUUUUACAUUUUCCUUCCAUAUUGAAAGAGGAUUACCACAUGCUGCAAAUUAUAAAGAAAAUAUCAGACACUGCUAAACAUCUCACCAACAAAAUGUGUUCCCCUCUCUGUUCCCUUCCUCUCCAUCAUUAGCUGUCCCCAGCCCUUGCUCACUCUCACUGGGUUGAAAC